GUUUUCUAAAAACUAACCAAAAUGAAUACAAAACUUUAACAUUUUACAAUGAUACAUAAAGUUAUUACAAACAAAAUUUAUAAAGUUUUAAAUUUGUUUUGUAAUUUAGCUUCUUUGUAUCUAUGUAGUUUCACGGGGAAAUAACUCUUAACUAUAAACCUUUCGUAUCAACGGUUACUUGCAACGGUUGCUUGAAAGCAUAAUCGAGUGCACACACUAUUGUUUCCUACGAAUACAAGAAGAAACCACAUGAAAUUAGUCCCAAAUUACAGCUAAAAAUUCUCAAAACAGUUCUGCAUAUGAUUCCUAAAACAUGUGUUGAUAUAAAGUGUAUGCAUCAAUAAUUUUCAAAAGUUAAAUGACGGCUCCCACUUCGUACUACGGUUGGUACGGUCGCAAAUCUGGAAACCUCUAUUAACCG
rnacentral:lncRNA from 1 species